rnacentral:rRNA from 1 species
AUUGAACGCUGGCGGCAGGCCUAACACAUGCAAGUCGAACGGUAACAGGAAGAAGCUUGCUUCUUUGCUGACGAGUGGCGGACGGGUGAGUAAUGUCUGGGAAACUGCCUGAUGGAGGGGGAUAACUACUGGAAACGGUAGCUAAUACCGCAUAACGUCGCAAGACCAACGAGGGGGACCUUCGGGCCUCUUGCCAUCGGAUGUGCCCAGAUGGGAUUAGCUAGUAGGUGGGGUAACGGCUCACCUAGGCGACGAUCCCUAGCUGGUCUGAGAGGAUGACCAGCCACACUGGAACUGAGACACGGUCCAGACUCCUACGGGAGGCAGCAGUGGGGAAUAUUGCACAAUGGGCGCAAGCCUGAUGCAGCCAUGCCGCGUGUAUGAAGAAGGCCUUCGGGUUGUAAAGUACUUUCAGCGGGGAGGAAGGGAGUAAAGUUAAUACCUUUACUCAUUGACGUUACCCGCAGAAGAAGCACCGGCUAACUCCGUG